CACGUAGGGCGCAAGCGUUGUCCGGAAUUAUUGGGCGUAAAGAGCUCGUAGGCGGUCUGUCGCGUCGGUCGUGAAAACUUGGGGCUUAACCCUGAGCUUGCGGUCGAUACGGGCAUGACUGGAGUUCGGCAGGGGAGACUGGAAUUCCUGGUGUAGCGGUGAAAUGCGCAGAUAUCAGGAGGAACACCGGUGGCGAAGGCGGGUCUCUGGGCCGAUACUGACGCUGAGGAGCGAAAGCGUGGGGAGCGAACAGG
rnacentral:rRNA from 1 species